GUUUCUUCACUCAGCUUACAAAUAGAGAGCAGUGUUGUGGGCAUGAGAUACAAUAACACAAAUUGGAAUGAGACAUAGUGGAAAAAUUGUUUCAAGCUGCUGGCAAAUCUUCAUCAAGUUUUCCACUCAUGCUCAUUCACAAAACCUCAUUGAAAAUGUUUCCAUUCAAAAUGAACAAGACUCUCAAUGAUCACCACUGACAACAGCAAGAGACUAUAGCGGGAGAUGUUUGCAAGCUAGAUACAUAUGUAAACCCAGGCAUCUUACCUAUCAUCAUUCAUUGUCACAUACUCGCGCUGGAGUGCUAUGCUCGUCUGUUUCACACGUAAAUUCUCCCCCCUCGACAUCAUCCUCUCUAUGCGAGUGUUCCGACUUAAGUUCAUGCUUUUCCGGACAGCGCGAGACAGGAACUGGGAAACGAUAUGGACUGACCAAUGGUCUGGUAAUGAUUGAAGAACCUGCACAAAGUUUUAUACCUUAUUUUAUGGUUGUUCAUAAUUGGGUACUCUUGAUAUCAUUUUCAAUAAAGCUUCAAUGAUGUCUAUCAAAGAUUAAUGCAUAAAUAUUCAAACACUGCAAGCAAAACAAUAAAGUCAACAGUUUGA